UACAGAGACUGCAAGCGUUAUUCGGAUUCACUGGGCGUAAAGGGUGCGUAGGCGGCGUGGUAAGUCAGAUGUGAAAUCCCGGGGCUCAACCCCGGAACUGCAUCCGAUACUGCCAUGCUAGAGGAUUGGAGAGGUAGCUGGAAUUCACGGUGUAGCAGUGAAAUGCGUAGAUAUCGUGAGGAACACUCGUGGCGAAAGCGGGCUACUGGACAAUUCCUGACGCUGAGGCUCGAAGGCGAGGGGAGCGAAAGGG
rnacentral:rRNA from 1 species